rnacentral:rRNA from 1 species
GACGAACGCUGGCGGCAUGCCUAACACAUGCAAGUCGAACGGGAUCCUGGUUUCGGCCAGGUGAGAGUGGCGGACGGGUGAGUAACGCGUGGGAACCUGCCCAGUGGUGGGGAGUAACUGCGGGAAACUGCAGCUAAUACCGCAUGAGCCCGCAAGGGAAAGAUUGAUCGCCAUUGGAGGGGCCCGCGUUCGAUUAGGUAGUUGGUGAGGUAACGGCUCACCAAGCCUUCGAUCGAUAGCUGGUCUGAGAGGAUGAUCAGCCACACU